rnacentral:rRNA from 1 species
GAUGAACGCUGGCGGCGUGCCUCAAACAUGCAAGUCGAGCGGGGCUAUGUAAUAUCGCAAGGUAGAACAUAGCCUAGCGGCGAACGGGUGAGUAACACGUGGGUAACCUGCCUGGAAGACAGGGAUAACGAUUCGAAAGGGUCGCUAAUACCUGAUAAUAUCCUUUCAUCGCAUGGUGAUAGGAAGAAAGGGGAAACCCGCUUUCAGAUGGGCCCGCGUCCCAUCAGCUAGUUGGUAAGGUAAAGGCUUACCAAGGCGACGAUGGGUAGCCGGCCUGAGAGGGUGGACGGCCACACUGGGACUGAGACACGGCCCAGACUCCUACGGGAGGCAGCAGUAGGGAAUAUUGCGCAAUGGACGGAAGUCUGACGCAGCGACGCCGCGUGAGCGAUGAAGGUCUUCGGAUCGUAAAGCUCUGUCCUUGGGGAAGAAGGCGAAAGCUUGACGGUACCCAAGAAGAAAGCCCCGGCUAACUACGUGCCAGCAGCCGCGGUAAUAGUACUCUA